rnacentral:sRNA from 1 species
GCUGGGCAUGGUGGUGCGCACCUGUAAUCCCAGUGCCUCAGGAGGCUGAGGAAGGAGGAUCAUGAGCUCAAAGCCAGCCUCAGCAAAAGCGAGGUGCUAAGUAAUUCAGUGAGACCCUGUCUCUA